rnacentral:rRNA from 1 species
UACGGGGGGAGCAAGCGUUGUUCGGAUUUACUGGGCGUAAAGGGCGCGUAGGCGGUCAGCACAAGUCAGUUGUGAAAUCUCCGGGCUUAACUCGGAAAGGUCAACUGAUACUGUGCGACUAGAGUGCAGAAGGGGCAACUGGAAUUCUCGGUGUAGCGGUGAAAUGCGUAGAUAUCGUGAGGAAGACCAGUGGCGAAGGCGGAUCUCUGGACAGUUCCUGACGCUGAGGCGCGAAGGCCAGGGGAGCAAACGGG